AAAAUUAAAGCGCUUACCUUGUGACAAAUUGUACAAGUCGCCUUUAUCCGGCUGGGCAAGCGAGAAAUGUGCACGUGCUAACGAGCUCCCGCUCACCGAAAGAGAAAGAGACAAGCUCAUGUUUAACAACGAGUAUGACAAAGAUGAAUGGAAUGCGUAAAUUAAUCAAAAAUAACAGAUUUCUUCGUAG